rnacentral:lncRNA from 1 species
GCGGCGAGAAGAGGGGAAGAAGAGAGGGGGGGCAGAGCUUUAUAGUAACGCGGUCGGGGCACUUCGGGAAGGUCGGGACGAGGAGAUUGCGGCGGAAAUGGUAGGCGGCGCCGCGGACGCGGGCGCUUUCCUUACCAGGAAGACGACCCUAACGCGUGGGUCCCACGCGUCAGUGGCUCGGCGCAGGUGCGCGUGGCACUGUGCCGGCUCGGUCCGGUCCAGGCGCGCGGAACAAGGCUGGUUCGGCCCAUUUGGCCGGGCCGGUCCGGUUUUCUCCCUUUUUUUCUUUUAGCCUUUUCUUUUUCUGUUUUUCUUAUUUCUUUGAUAUCUUUUGAUUUUGAAAUCCAAAUUGGUCCAAAUAAAUUCCAGAAAAUUUCUAAAAUAUGUUCUAUCAUGAUACAACUUUUGGGAGUUGUUUCCCCUCAAAAUAAAAUAUAUAAAAAUACAUUUUCCCUAUAAAUGCCUUUAGGGCUAUAUAUCUAUUUAAAUAAAAUACUUUUUCAACUCCAAAUAAUUAUCCAAAAAUUAUGGGAUAGCUCAUUUAUGCAAUAAACCCCCUUUCAUAAAUAAACUUUAUUGGUUUGAAGAUCC